rnacentral:tRNA from 1 species
AGUUAUCUUACUUAUUAUGCUCUUUAACAAUCUGGAACAAGCUGAAAAAUUGAAAACAAAUCAAUAUAUCAGACACCGCCCUUUCACGGCGGUAACAGGGGUUCGAAUCCCCUAGGGGACGCCA